rnacentral:rRNA from 1 species
AGUGAACGCUGGCGGUAGGCCUAACACAUGCAAGUCGAACGGCAGCACAGUAAGAGCUUGCUCUUACGGGUGGCGAGUGGCGGACGGGUGAGGCAUACAUCGGAAUCUACUUUUUCGUGGGGGAUAACGUAGGGAAACUUAUGCUAAUACCGCAUACGACCUACGGGUGAAAGCAGGGGAUCUUCGGACCUUGCGCGAUUGAAUGAGCCGAUGUCGGAUUAGCUAGUUGGCGGGGUAAAGGCCCACCAAGGCGACGAUCCGUAGCUGGUCUGAGAGGAUGAUCAGCCACACUGGAACUGAGACACGGUCCAGACUCCUACGGGAGGCAGCAGUAGGGAAUAUUGGACAAUGGGCGAAAGCCUGAUCCAGCCAUACCGCGUGGGUGAAGAAGGCCUUCGGAUUGUAAAGCCCUUUUGUUGGGAAAGAAAAGCAGCAGGUUAAUACCCCGCUGUUCUGACGGUACCCAAAGAAUAAGCACCGGCUAACUUCGUG